rnacentral:rRNA from 1 species
GACAGAGGGUGCAAACGUUGUUCGGAAUUACUGGGCGUAAAGCGUGCGCAGGCGGCCUUGCAAGUCGGGCGUGAAAUCCCACGGCUCAACCGUGGAAGUGCACUCGAAACUGCUUGGCUAGAGUCUUGGAGAGGAAGGCGGAAUGCUUGGUGUAGAGGUGAAAUUCGUAGAUAUCAAGCGGAACACCGGUGGCGAAGGCGGCCUUCUGGACCAACACUGACGCUGAGACACGAAAGCGUGGGUAGCAAACAGG